rnacentral:rRNA from 1 species
UACAGAGGGGGCAAGCGUUGUUCGGAAUUACUGGGCGUAAAGCGUGCGCAGGCGGCGGCUCAAGUCAGGUGUGAAAUCCCCGGGCUUAACCUGGGAAUUGCGCUCGAUACUGUUGAGCUAGAGUGUGGAAGGGGCUACUGGAAUUCCGUGUGUAGCGGUGAAAUGCGUAGAUAUAACGGAGGAACACCUGCGGCGAAGGCGGGGUAGCUGGGCCAACACUGACGCUGAGACGCGAAAGCUAGGGGAGCAAACGGG